rnacentral:lncRNA from 1 species
GUUCCCAUAACCACAUACGUACUACAAGAAUAAUCUGUCCCUGAGUACAAACAAGCAAAUGGUCAUUUGCUUAAUAGUCUUCACAGAAGAGCAGUCUUCAGUUCUCCCAAAUCUCAAAGACAACAGAAGUCCCUCCCAAGUUAUUCAUCAAUGGCAGAAUCAACUAUGAUGUAUGCAGUUGUGACUGGAUCAAACAAAGGAAUCAGAUUUGAAACUGUUAGACAGUUGGCCUCGACUGGAAUCACUGUGGUGUUAACUUAG